GGUCUGAAAGGUAACUUUCAGAAUUUGACUUUCUUCUUGAUAUCAAGUCAUCACUUGACAAAAGAAUUGGAUAGAGAUUAGAGGUUUGAACAUGCGCAAUUGAUGAAAAUUGAGAGUUAAUGUGUGUUUUUGAUGAAAUUGAAAGAAGGACUAACAUGAUGAUCGACUUAAAGUUGACGGGGGUAAACUGAAAUUAGUCCUUUAAAUAAAGACCAUCAAUUUCACGUACAAAUAUAGUUUUUUUUUUUUGUGUGUGUGUGUUUUUGUUACGAUUUCACUUACAUAGUUGAACAGAUUGUUUAGUGAAGCCAAGUCUCCGAGUUCAUAUGGCUUAAUGGGGCAAAGUUAAGCAAGAUUUAAUAAUGCCCAUUGAUCAUAGGUUAACAGAUUGUUUAAUGAUGCAAGAUUCGAAUAAUGACUACAGAUCUCACAAAGUUGACUAAACAGAUAGCUAGUUAACCAAAAUUUGAAUAAUGGCCGCCAACUGAUUCCACGUGGGAAAGACUGAGUUUGCUAGGAACAUAAGUGAGAAAGUUGCACCUCGAAUCUGAUUGUCAAAUCACAAGUACCUAUUACCCAUAUAGAAAUGUGGUGAGAUUUAUUAAAGAUUGCCCUAAAUUAUAUCUCUAUGACUACGUCAAUUUUGGCUUCAGACGACCUGCUAGGUCGGUCGUCUGAAUACUUUUUCGGCUGUCGUCUAUCCAGCAGUCAUCUGAUAAGCAUUCAGUCGACGGACCUCGUCAGACGUCUGAUACAACUUCGACGACAGAUUGUAUAUAAGAAACUGUCGUCUGUAUGCACCUACAUUCGUAACAAAAUUAAAGUUUUUGUCGUUAGAAACAGUUACGACCACGGUGCUAUGUCGUUGAAAACAAAUUAAACAAUAAAUAUUUGCCACUGUCUAUCGUCUGAAAUAUGUUAUAACGCCUCUUGUUUCACGUGUUAAUGUUUUUUUAAUCUCUCUUUUAAAACUUUUCUCGUCUGUAUUGUAGUAUUACUACGGUUAUUUGUCGUCCAAAUGGGUAGAAACACCAAAAGUGCUCUUCUGUCGGUCGUCUGAGAAUCUUUAAAACGUCACAAGUCUGUCGUGUUAAUGUCUAUUUCUGUGUAGAUUUACAGUUUAGACGACUGAUAUGUAUUCUUUGUGUAUCUACACACGACAUAUCUGUUUACUUAUCUAUCGACUUGAUUAGUCCAUAAGACAUCUAUAUGUCGUCCGAAUUUAUAAUCAGUUCUUUGUCUGUCGUCUGAAAUGUUAAUGGAUGACAAUAUUAUGUCGUGUGAUAUUCUCAUCAAUGACAGAAUAGAGACGUAUGUUUUUGUGCAGGACGACAGUGUUGAUUUGGU
rnacentral:lncRNA from 1 species